GAAGGAGCGGAGGUGCUUCAGCGGCAUCAUGGAUGUGGCCGUCGCCAAGUUCCCCCCGACCUUGACAAGAGGAAAGAAAUCAGCCACGGACACCCCUGCAGACGGACCUCGGUUAAGCCUUCCUCAGUUAUCCUAAUCCAACACAUCGCCUGUUGCUGCGAGAACCCCAACUGGUGUGGGAAGGAACCCUGGCUGAGAAGAGAGAUGGAAACCCACAAAGGCACGGAGGUGUAACCUGAGAGGAGACGGGAAAGAGGCACACUCCCUGCUGGCCUUUCAAGCUGGUGACAUUACAGGCGACCUCACCGCGAGGGCUUCAGAGAUGCCAGAACCUGUGUUUCCAGUUUGCCCAAGGCAGUCCAUUUGCCAGGUUUGCCCACGGCUGUGUUGGCAAGGGUUGCUCCGAGCCCUCAACGGAUGGAAAAGUAGACGGAGAAGAAAGAACAAAGGUCAGGACCUCAGAAACCCAGGUAACCACUUGAGUACCAGAGCGUGGCCGUCCUCAAGCUCGUUGCAAGAAGUCGACAUGUGUAGGCGGAACGUUUAGGAUUCGGAACAACAAUCCCUUUGUCUCUCCGAUUCUUACUCUAACCCGUGGUGGCCAAAAGCAGCAAUUUUGAGAAGUUAGCAUUGGCAGGCUUGGUGCAGCCCGGAGCACAGCACACAGGAUGAAUUCCAGCUCCACCUACUGCACAGGUGGACCGGGAGGAGGUGGGUCGCUUGCGCACACUCUCUGAACCAGGAUUGUUCCACUACAAAAAAACAGCGACCUGGGCCUGCCUCGAUUGCAGAACUGUAAAGACCAGCGCUGAUCAGGCCGCGGCACAUGACGCGCUCUGAUACUCCUGGCACGUGACGAUGUCCGGCCUCCACACCAGGUCGCUGGGAAUCCUGAUGGAGUCCAGCCCAUCAUACUGCUCCCGAUCCCAUGUGAGGUAGGCAUCGUGCCAGAUCUGGCGGAUCCACAGGUAAGCGGUCAGAAUCUGGUUUCUUUCGUCCUGCACAAUGAAUCAGAUGUCACUCUCUCCAGAAGGCACUUGGGCCAUCGCCUUCCAUCUCCAGGACCCUGGUUCUCCACGACAGGAAUCUCAAGAGCUCUCAUCUAUUUUCCAUUAAUAAGUGAGAGCUCUUUUAUUCCAUUCCCUUGAUCAACUACUAAAGCCACAUUUUUUUCCCUUCCUUGAUUUAGUGUUUAGAAGGUAAAGUGAACAAAUACUGAAGUCUUCAGAUCUUUGCGUAGGUCAGCUGCUUAGUUUUCUCUGAAAAUGGCUCAACUAAUGACACUUGCAUGAGGAAGUGAGGAAAUAUCUUCCGUGUUCAGAUGAGAAGCCCCUCAAGUCUCAGAACUUUGUGUGAUAAAACAUAUAUAUGCACUAAACAAGCUAUUCCAACUUAAAAUAUUUUUCUUUCUUAAACUGAGACUGAAUUCAUACAACAUAAAUAUUACCAUUUUAACCAUUUUGGAAGUGGACCAUUCAGUGGUUUCCAAUACAUUCACCAUCAUCACCACUGUCUAAUUCAAGAACAUUUUCGUUGCCAUGUUGUGUUUUUUUAUCUAGAUGUUCCCUUGUUAAAGUCUCAUGGGACUGUAGUGGGACCCUCAGAAGAGGACUGGAUUAUGGGGGCUUACAGCUGACUCGCUAUUAGGAAACAGGGCCUGGUUGGAAGAAGGGGUCACCUCCGGGGUGGCAGGAAGUUGCAUCUCCCUUCCCAGCUCCUCCCUUGAUCUUGUUUCCUGGCUGCCGGGGUGUGGGAGCUCCUCCUCCGCUAUGCCGCCUGCCAUGCAGCUCUGCAUGCAGCCAGCUGACCACGGACUGUAACCGUGAGCCAAAGCAAACCUCCUCCCUUAAGUCAUGGUGGCAGGCAUUGCAUGUCAGCAACAGAGAAAGUGACUGAGACAGCUCCCCAGAGGGAACCCUCGCCAUUAAGGAGUCACGGCCCCUGUCCUGCUUCCUCCUCUGGCAACCACUACCCUGCCUUCUGCCUCAAUGGACUGACCUGUUUUGGACAUUUCCUGUAACUGGACCAUACAGUAUGUAACACCGCCUUGCUUUAGAGUAUCUGAGACUACUAUAGCGUCUGACCAGAACUAGAGGUCACUGUAACAUUAGGGAACAUUAUGUAACACAUAACGCGAUUCUGUGGAAAGCGUCCUUCCCCUGGAUUCCUUUUGCCCGCCAGCUUGUACACAGAGCUGCCUGCUUCACCCUUCUCAGGUUCCCGCUCAGGCUAUCCCCUUCAGGAAGCAUGCUUGUGUCAUUCCAGGAUUCUUUUCAAGAAGUCCCCACUCUGUUACUUACCAUAUCCUUAAUCUGAGACAGUGUGAUCUGCAGUGUGACAUUCAGGACUUUAUCUGUGUCUUCAACUGGACGAAGAGCAUUGGAAUAAUCUUCAAAAAGGUCAUUAAACAAGUUCUGAGCGUAUUUUCCAUUUGCCGUUUCUACAGCUACUCAAAAAGAGAGACACAGAUCAAUAUUCGGAGGACUAUAUGUAUUUCAAGCAAAGAACAUCAGUUUGAGGUCAAGAAUAGCAGAUGGCCCAGCUAGACCAGGGACAUGUUUUGGAUGGGGGGGAUGAGGCAUUUUCCUGGCAGGUGCUAUGCAUGUCAGCAAGAAUCAGGCCAAUGUACGAGAUCAGCUCUUCUGUCUUUUCUGGCCUGCCCCACUUCCCACCGAAGAAAUGGUCCCACCCACCACCAACCUCUCACCUCUCAGUCUGGAAGCAGCAAAAUAAAUCCAGCAAAAUGAGAGGCAGGCAUAGGGCCAAUUCAUUUUUCUCCUGAGCCUCUAGGAUGUCACAGCCAGGCAGCGUGGGCUUCUCUGUGAAUGGGAAGGGUCCUGGUGCAACAGCCUGUGCUGCGCGGUCUCCCCUGGGCAGGUGGAGUAAACAGGCUUGCACUGUAUGCAGGACACAGAGCCUGACAUCCAGACCCAACUGCCUUCCCCUCCGUAAUCUGAGACCAGCAGCUCCAAUGACUGAGAUGCCCAGCGCCGAAGAUCUGAAUUUCUAUUUACCAUGCCAAUUGGGGUUUUCCAGCUCUUUAAAAAAUGGUCCAAAGGCCAGCCAAAUCAGCAGAAU